GGAUGAAUAUUGGUCAAUGGACGGAAGUCUGAACCAGCCAAGUAGCGUGCAGGAUGACGGCCCUAUGGGUUGUAAACUGCUUUUAUGUGGGAAUAAAGUGAGGGACGUGUCCCUUUUUGUAGGUACCACAUGAAUAAGGACCGGCUAAUUCCGUGCCAGCAGCCGCGGUAAUACGGAAGGUCCGGGCGUUAUCCGGAUUUAUUGGGUUUAAAGGGAGCGUAGGCCGUCGGGCAAGCGUGUUGUGAAAUGCAGUCGCUCAACGUCUGCACUGCAGCGCGAACUGCCCGGCUUGAGUGCGCGCAACGUUGGCGGAAUUCGCCGUGUAGCGGUGAAAUGCUUAGAUAUCACGAAGAACUCCGAUUGCGAAGGCAGCUCACGGGAGCGCAACUGACGCUGAAGCUCGAAAGUGCGGGUAUCGAACAGGAUUAGAUACCCUGGUA
rnacentral:rRNA from 1 species